AACGAACGCUGGCGGCAUGCCUAACACAUGCAAGUCGAACGAAGGCUUCGGCCUUAGUGGCGCACGGGUGCGUAACGCGUGGGAAUCUGCCCUUUGGUUCGGAAUAACAGCUGGAAACGGCUGCUAAUACCGGAUGAUGACGAAAGUCCAAAGAUUUAUCGCCAGAGGAUGAGCCCGCGUUGGAUUAGGUAGUUGGUGGGGUAAAGGCCUACCAAGCCGACGAUCCAUAGCUGGUCUGAGAGGAUGAUCAGCCACACUGGGACUGAGACACGGCCCAGACUCCUACGGGAGGCAGCAGUGGGGAAUAUUGGAAAAUGGGCGCAAGCCUGAUCCAGCAAUGCCGCGUGAGUGAUGAAGGCCCUAGGGUUGUAAAGCUCUUUUACCCGGGAAGAUAAUGACUGUACCGGGAGAAUAAGCCCCGGCUAACUCCGUG
rnacentral:rRNA from 1 species